rnacentral:rRNA from 1 species
AGAGUUUGAUCCUGGCUCAGGACGAACGCUGGCGGCGUGCCUAACACAUGCAAGUCGAGCGGAGAUGCUUGAAUAGUUUACUAGGAAAGCAUCUUAGCGGCGGACGAGUGAGUAACGCGUGGGCAACCUGCCCUACAGAGGGGGAUAACAGUGCGAAAGUACUGCUAAUACCGCAUGAUAUUGUCGGAUUGCAUGAUCUG